rnacentral:rRNA from 1 species
GACGAACGCUGGCGGCGUGCUUAACACAUGCAAGUCGAACGGAAAGGCCCUGCUUUUGUGGGGUGCUCGAGUGGCGAACGGGUGAGUAACCCGUGAGUAACCUUCCCUGGACUUUGGGAUAACUUCAGGCAACUGGGGCUAAUACCGGAUAGGAGCUCCUGCUGCAUGGUGGGGGUUGGAAAGCUUCGGCGGUUGGGGAUGGACUCGCGGGUUAUCAGCUUGUUGGUGGGGUAGUGGCUUACCAAGGCUUUGACGGGUGGCCGGCCUGGGAGGGUGGCCGGCCACCUUGGGCCUGCGAUACGGCCCAGACUCCUACGGGAGGCAGCAGUGGGGAGUAUUGCACAAUGGGCGGAAGCCUGAUGCAGCAGCGCCGCGUGCGGGAUGACGGCCUUCGGGUUGUAAACCGCUUUCGGCUGUGACGAAGCGUGAGUGACGGUAAUGGGUGAAGAAGCACCGGCUAACUACGUG